AAACCUUACGCUGCUGAUCCUAAUUUUGUACUUUCUGCUUGAUUUGACUCUUUAUUUUUCUCUUUCAUGUAGGCAACUCCAGCAGCCAAAAUCUGGGUUUCUUUUUUAACUUUUGUUUGCAGAGAUAUGGCUAAGCCUGUUGAAAAGACUAGAGCUUUGAGAAAAGGGGCAUGGAGUCCUGAAGAAGACCGGAAAUUGACUGCUUAUAUUAAGAGAUAUGGGAUUUGGAACUGGGCAGAGAUGGCUAAACCAGCAGGAUUGCAAAGGUCAGGGAAGAGUUGCAGGCUUCGUUGGGUGAAUUACUUAAGACCUGGAAUUAAGCAUGGGAAUUUCACAAAGGAAGAAGAGCAAACAAUAAUUGAUUUACAUGAAAAGCUUGGGAACAGAUGGUCAGCGAUCGCAUCAAGGUUGCCCGGAAGAACUGAUAAUGAGAUUAAAAACCAUUGGCAUGCUCACUUGAGAAAACGUUUUAAGUACGACCUGAAUGCAUUGCCAGAGAGCGAACCUUCAGAGCCAUCCAGUGAUGAAACAAACCAAAAUAGUUCAUCCAGAUCGAAUCCUACUGACAAUAUUCCAAGACCAUCAAUUCUGGAAAGCUAUAGUGCGAUUUCUACCGACAGUUUACCUUCAUCGAGCUCGAAUCCUCUGGUUGAAAUUGAAGAAAAGCCAAACAUUAAGGGAUCCAUUGGUUCAUUGGACAACUUCAAAGCAUAAUAAUAGGCCAUUGGUUCAUUGUUUUCAGUAGCCAGGUAUGGUUCCAUUCCAGCAUAUAUGAGGGCACUGUUGCAAUGGCAGCAGCCAUGGUGCUUGUGGUACUCCCGGUUUCCGAUUUGGUGCAGUAGCGGUCCAAAACACUUACAGGGGUUCUCGUACUCGAGCUCGACACCGUAUGGACAAUCCAUUCGCACUCUAGCAUCGCAUUAAAGCAUUUUAACACAUUCUCCUGCAAAAUUACAGCACAUUCAUCCACUAUGUCGAGUAAGUAAAAAGCUAUGCUUUAAGUAAGGUAUUGAGUUAGAAAUCGCCUACUUUAUUCAAAUAUUCACAGGACAAAACCGAUGUUUCAAACGAUGGAAACUGCAAUGGGAAUAGCUCGUGAGUUGCCACAAGAAGAGCUGAUGCUGCAAUGGUUGAUGGUUUGAACUCCAACAUUUUGAUUUCUGUACCCGAAAAACAGAGUUUUCAACAUCGGUUUAUGCAGAUUUAUCGUAAAAUUACAU